UACGUAGGGGGCUAGCGUUGUCCCGGAAUCAUUGGGCGUAAAGCGCGUGUAGGCGGUCCGGUAAGUCCGCUGUGAAAGUCGAGGGCUCAACCCUCGAAUGCCGGUGGAUACUGUCGGGCUUGAGUACGGGAGAGGCGAGUGGAAUUCCUGGUGUAGCGGUGAAAUGCGCAGAUAUCAGGAGGAACACCGAUGGCGAAGGCAGCUCGCUGGGACGGUACUGACGCUGAGGCGCGAAAGCGUGGAGGAGCGAACAGGAC
rnacentral:rRNA from 1 species